UAGUCCACGCCCUAAACGAUGUCAACUAGACGUUGGGCUUAUUAAUAAGCUUAGUGUCGAAGCUAACGCGUUAAGUUGACCGCCUGGGGAGUACGGCCGCAAGGUUGAAACUCAAAGGAAUUGACGGGGGCUCACACAAGCGGUGGAGCAUGUUGUUUAAUUCGAUGCAACGCGAAGAACCUUACCUGGGCUUGACAUGUGCGUGGUACCAAUCCGAAAGGGGCGGGACCCUCUCUGAGGGAGCGUACACAGGUAUUGCAUGACUGUCGUCAGCUCGUGUCGUGAGAUGUUGGGUUAAGUCCCGUAACGAGCGCAACCCUUGUCCUUAGUUGCCAGCGGUUCGGCCGGGGACUUUAAGGAGACUGCCGGUGUUAAACCGGAGGAAGGCGGGGACGACGUCAAGUCAUCAUGGUCCUUACGUCCAGGGCGACAAACGUGCUACAAUGGCCGGUACAAUGGGCAGCAAAACCGCGAGGUCGAGCAAAUCUCAAAAGCCGGCCCAAGUUCGGAUUGGAGGCUGCAAUUCGCCUCCA
rnacentral:rRNA from 1 species